rnacentral:rRNA from 1 species
AUUGAACGCUGGCGGCAGGCUUAACACAUGCAAGUCGAGCGGGGUGAUGGUGCUUGCACUAUCACUUAGCGGCGGACGGGUGAGUAAUGCUUAGGAAUCUGCCUAUUAGUGGGGGACAACAUCUCGAAAGGGAUGCUAAUACCGCAUACGUCCUACGGGAGAAAGCAGGGGAUCACUUGUGACCUUGCGCUAAUAGAUGAGCCUAAGUCGGAUUAGCUAGUUGGUGGGGUAAAGGCCUACCAAGGCGACGAUCUGUAGCGGGUCUGAGAGGAUGAUCCGCCACACUGGGACUGAGACACGGCCCAGACUCCUGCGGGAGGCAGCAGUGGGGAAUAUUGGACAAUGGGGGGAACCCUGAUCCAGCCAUGCCGCGUGUGUGAAGAAGGCCUUCGGGUUGUAAAGCACUUUCAGUAGGGAGGAAGCGUUGAGUGUUAAUAGUACUCAGCGUUGACGUUACCUACAGAAGAAGCACCGGCUAACUCUGUGCCAGCAGCCGCCGUAA